GUUUUUUUUAACAUGGAGAUCCAAAGAGAGACAGGGGGGAAAGGAACAAGGAUUUAUACAGUUGCUAGCAGCCUGGCAGGAAGGUAAUAGGCUGAUGUGAUGGUACAUUUGUCUGUUCUUCUGUUGAUUGAUUCCUCCCCGGGCCCGGACACAGUCUAUAGCUCAUUUCCAGAAGGACUACAGGUGUGCAGAGGUCAGAGGACAACUUGCAACGGUCAAUUCUCUCCUUCCAUGAGGUGGGGCACAGGGAACCGCUUGGGUGGUCAGGCAUUGUGGCUGGCGCCUUUUCCUGAGCCCUCUCACUACCCCCUCACCUUUCAUCCUGUAGAGUCAACUCAUUCAUUAGCUGUUCUGUGCAGCAGGCUCUUGUAUUAGUAGAGAUGGGAGCCAAUGGUGUGUCGCUAUUGGAAACCAGGAGGGAGCUCUGUGCCCACGACGUUAUGGCUAUGACAUUUAUAGAAGAGCCCCAAGAAGAAAGAAGUGAGACACAUGGACCAAGGGAACAGAACUGCUUGAUUUUUUUUUUUUUCUGUGUCUUUGGUUCUUUGAAGAUGUACAUCUGUGGCAGCAGGGCCUGACGGCGUGACUCCGCCCUACCUCACCGUCCGGCAGUGGCAAGUACCGAAAGAACCCUCAGCCAUUCCACAGGGUUCUGGUGGCCCAUCGACAGUGAGGAGCAUCUCACUCUAGACUUUACAGUUCUGGAUUCAGUGCCAAAACCAUGGCAUCACACACACAUAUACAUGCGCACUCGUAACCUCCCUUCUACAUUUGCUUAAACCCACCCAAGAGCCCCAGUCACCCAGAACCCAAGUCCCGAAGAACUCCAGCUAGCUCCACUCAGGGUCAAGGAGAAGCGGCUCUGCAUUUUUUGCCUGGGACUGAAGCUGAGGACCGUGACUGUGAACAGGGCUGUGGCAGGAGAAAAGCAGUCAUGAGGCUGCUCAGAAGAGAAGUGGAAUCCUGCCGUAUCUGGAACAGGAUGCAAGAAAUUGUGGCAUCGUAAAGGAUCAGAUCGCAAGUCUGCACCUCUCUGAUUUUCUUUGCGUGUUUUGUCUUUAUCGGGUAGGUCAGUCGGCACCUUAUUCACGAGAAACCAUUAGCCUAGUGCAAACACAGUUUUAGAAGGAGCUGGUGAGGGGACUGCCUCUCACGAGCCGACCUUGUGACUUGGCCGUCCACAUUUUAUGGAAGGAGAGAUACCUAAAAAUCUGUCCCCGCACUUGUCUCAGGCUGGGGUCUCUGUCCACGCACUUAAAAAUCUUAUCUGUAUCUUUCAUCUUUGUGCUUUCUCUGGGCACCACUACCCACUCCACUAGCUUUUAUUUCUAUUGACUUAGAUACCACAACGAAUGCUAUUAAUUCUUAUAUCUAAGAAAUCUAUUAGGAUCUUUUAUAAGCGUGACUGGGUAUUUUCAAAGGGACAUACUCUGUGACAUGUUAAAUAUUUCUUUGGAAUUUCACCUGAUUGUCACGGUUCUGAUUGGACACGGUUCUGAGUGUUGGUUUUCUCCGUCCUAGUUUUGCUGGCUCCACUCUCGGCGGCUUAUUUCCCUGUGUCUUACAUAACUUGAUCUUGGAAUUAGUCUAUCUUUGAGAACCCUUUAAGUCUUGGAUUAAAUGUGAGUUUUCU
ensembl:processed_transcript